CCUACGGGAGGCUGCAGUAGGGAAUCUUCCACAAUGGGCGCAAGCCUGAUGGAGCAACACCGCGUGAGUGAAGAAGGGUUUCGGCUCGUAAAGCUCUGUUGUUGAGGAAGAACGUGCGUGAGAGUAACUGUUCACGCAGUGACGGUAUCCAACCAGAAAGUCACGGCUAACUACGUGCCAGCAGCCGCGGUAAUACGUAGGUGGCAAGCGUUAUCCGGUGUUAUUGGGCGUAAAGGGAGCGCAGGCCGUUGCUUAGGUCUGAUGUGAAAGCCUUCGGCUUAACCGAAGAAGUGCAUCGGAAUGCGGGCAACUUGAGUGCAGAAGAGGACAGUGGAACUCCAUGUGUAGCGGUGGAAUGCGUAGAUAGAUGGAAGAACACCAGUGGCGAAGGCGGCUGUCUGGUCUGCAACUGACGCUGAGGCUCGAAAGCAUGGGUAGCGAACAGGAUUAGAUACCCCUGUAGUC
rnacentral:rRNA from 1 species